CCUACGGGAGGCUGCACUGGGGAAUAUUGGACAAUGGGCGAAAGCCUGAUCCAGCCAUGCCGCGUGUGUGAAGAAGGCCUUCGGGUUGUAAAGCACUUUCAGUGGGGAAGAAAGCCUUGGGGCUAAUACCCUCGAGGAAGGACAUCACCCACAGAAGAAGCACCGGCUAACUCCGUGCCAGCAGCCGCGGUAAUACGGAGGGUGCGAGCGUUAAUCGGAAUUACUGGGCGUAAAGCGCGCGUAGGCGGUCUGAUAAGCCGGUUGUGAAAGCCCCGGGCUCAACCUGGGAACGGCAUCCGGAACUGUCAGGCUAGAGUGCAGGAGAGGAAGGUAGAAUUCCCGGUGUAGCAGUGAAAUGCGUAGAGAUCGGGAGGAAUACCAGUGGCGAAGGCGGCCUUCUGGACUGACACUGACGCUGAGGUGCGAAAGCGUGGGUAGCAAACAGGAUUAGAUACCCCUGUAGUC
rnacentral:rRNA from 1 species